rnacentral:rRNA from 1 species
AGAGUUUGAUCCUGGCUCAGGAUGAACGCUAGCUACAGGCUUAACACAUGCAAGUCGAGGGGCAGCAUGGUCUUAGCUUGCUAAGGCCGAUGGCGACCGGCGCACGGGUGAGUAACACGUAUCCAACCUGCCGUCUACUCUUGGACAGCCUUCUGAAAGGAAGAUUAAUACAAGAUGGCAUCAUGAGUCCGCAUGUUCACAUGAUUAAAGGUAUUCCGGUAGACGAUGGGGAUGCGUUCCAUUAGAUAGUAGGCGGGGUAACGGCCCACCUAGUCUUCGAUGGAUAGGGGUUCUGAGAGGAAGGUCCCCCACAUUGGAACUGAGACACGGUCCAAACUCCUACGGGAGGCAGCAGUGAGGAAUAUUGGUCAAUGGGCGAGAGCCUGAACCAGCCAAGUAGCGUGAAGGAUGACUGCCCUAUGGGUUGUAAACUUCUUUUAUAAAGGAAUAAAGUCGGGUAUGGAUACCCGUUUGCAUGUACUUUAUGAAUAAGGAUCGGCUAACUCCGUGCCAGCAGCCGCGGUAAUACGGAGGAUCCGAGCGUUAUCCGGAUUUAUUGGGUUUAAAGGGAGCGUAGGUGGAUUGUUAAGUCAGUUGUGAAAGUUUGCGGCUCAACCGUAAAAUUGCAGUUGAAACUGGCAGUCUUGAGUACAGUAGAGGUGGGCGGAAUUCGUGGUGUAGCGGUGAAAUGCUUAGAUAUCACGAAGAACUCCGAUUGCGAAGGCAGCCUGCUAAGCUGCAACUGACAUUGAGGCUCGAAAGUGUGGGUAUCAAACAGGAUUAGAUACCCUGGUAGUCCACACGGUAAACGAUGAAUACUCGCUGUUUGCGAUAUACAGCAAGCGGCCAAGCGAAAGCGUUAAGUAUUCCACCUGGGGAGUACGCCGGCAACGGUGAAACUCAAAGGAAUUGACGGGGGCCCGCACAAGCGGAGGAACAUGUGGUUUAAUUCGAUGAUACGCGAGGAACCUUACCCGGGCUUAAAUUGCAGAUGAAUUACGGUGAAAGCCGUAAGCCGCAAGGCAUCUGUGAAGGUGCUGCAUGGUUGUCGUCAGCUCGUGCCGUGAGGUGUCGGCUUAAGUGCCAUAACGAGCGCAACCCUUGUUGUCAGUUACUAACAGGUUCCGCUGAGGACUCUGACAAGACUGCCAUCGUAAGAUGUGAGGAAGGUGGGGAUGACGUCAAAUCAGCACGGCCCUUACGUCCGGGGCUACACACGUGUUACAAUGGGGGGUACAGAGGGCCGCUACCACGCGAGUGGAUGCCAAUCCCCAAAACCUCUCUCAGUUCGGACUGGAGUCUGCAACCCGACUCCACGAAGCUGGAUUCGCUAGUAAUCGCGCAUCAGCCACGGCGCGGUGAAUACGUUCCCGGGCCUUGUACACACCGCCCGUCAAGCCAUGGGAGCCGGGGGUACCUGAAGUGCGUAACCGCGAGGAGCGCCCUAGGGUAAAACUGGUGACUGGGGCUAAGUCGUAACAAGGUAGCCGUACCGGAAGGUGCGGCUG